rnacentral:rRNA from 1 species
GAGUUUGAUCAUGGCUCAGAUUGAACGCUGGCGGCAUGCCUAACACAUGCAAGUCGAACGGGAGUAGCAAUACUCUAGUGGCGGACGGGUGAGGAAUACAUAGGAAUUUGCCCUUAAGUGGGGGAUAGUCCGGGGAAACUCGGUUUAAUACCGCAUGAUCUCGUGAGAGCAAAGCAGGGGACCGCAAGGCCUUGCGCUCUUGGAGAAGCCUAUGUCGGAUUAGCUAGUUGGUGAGGUAAUGGCUCACCAAGGCGACGAUCCGUAACUGGUCUGAGAGGAUGAUCAGUCACACCGGAACUGAGACACGGUCCGGACUCCUACGGGAGGCAGCAGUGGGGAAUAUUGGACAAUGGGCGAAAGCCUGAUCCAGCAAUGCCGCGUGUGUGAAGAAGGCCUUCGGGUUGUAAAGCACUUUAGGUUGGGAAGAAAAAAUUCGGGCGAAUAUCCCGAGUCUUGACGGUACCGACAGAAUAAGCACCGGCUAACUCUGUGCCAGCAGCCGCGGUAAUACG